UCUGUUUUUGAUCUGUAUUUUAAUCUCCAGAUGUAUAAACCCACUUGUGUAAUUCACCAGAGGGCUAAAACCAGCUUGACUGCAUGCUACAUGUGGCUUGACAGUGUAGAUGCAGCAUUACCAAGAGACUGAGCAGGGUUGUAUCAGAGUCACCUCUUUCAUCUGCAAAGGGUGCUUUGUGCAGUUGUGGAGAGGGAAGGGAAAUCCUCAUGUCACGAAGCUCUGAGGGAAGGUGGCGUGGGUGAUGCUGGCCGCUCCUUUCAAUCUUGGACCUAAUUUGCAGGUACAGAGGCAAGUUGCCUGCUGUUUUGAAAGGAUAAAAGUCAAGCUGGGGUUGCUUAUGUUGUUGAAGAAUGGGUGCUACUGCUGGCAGCUGAAUGUUUAUAUUCUUCC